AUUGAACGCUGGCGGCAGGCCUAACACAUGCAAGUCGAGCGAAUGACGGGAGCUUGCUCCUUGAUUCAGCGGCGGACGGGUGAGUAAUGCCUAGGAAUCUGCCUGGUAGUGGGGGACAACGUUUCGAAAGGAACGCUAAUACCGCAUACGUCCUACGGGAGAAAGCAGGGGACCUUCGGGCCUUGCGCUAUCAGAUGAGCCUAGGUCGGAUUAGCUAGUUGGUGGGGUAAUGGCUCACCAAGGCGACGAUCCGUAACUGGUCUGAGAGGGUGAUCAGUCACACUGGAACUGAGACACGGUCCAGACUCCUACGGGAGGCAUCAGUGGGGAAUAUUGGACAAUGGGCGAAAGCCUGAUCCAGCCAUGCCGCGUGUGUGAAGAAGGUCUUCGGAUUGUAAGGCACUUUAAGUUGGGAGGAAGGGCAGUAAGUUAAUACCUUGCUGUUUUGACGUUACCGACAGAAUAAGCACCGGCUAACUCUGUGCCAGCCGCCGCCGUAA
rnacentral:rRNA from 1 species